rnacentral:rRNA from 1 species
UCAUGUCGGGGACUCUAGGGAGACUGCCGGUGUUAAACCGGAGGAAGGCGGGGAUGACGUCAAGUCCUCAUGGCCCUUACGACCAGGGCUACACACGUACUACAAUGGUGGAAACAAACCGCUGCAAACUCGCGAGAGUAAGCUAAUCGGAAAAACACCAUCUCAGUCCGGAUUGAAGUCUGCAACUCGACUUCAUGAAGUUGGAAUCGCUAGUAAUCGCAGAUCAGCACGCUGCGGUGAAUACGUUCCCGGGCCUUGUACACACCGCCCGUCACACCAUGGGAGUUGGCUCUACCCGAAGGCG